AUUUGAAUAUAAGAAAAGACUAUCGCAUGAACUUACACAUUAGGAUCACACAAUUAAUUGUAAUCCAAACCAUUAAAACACCAAGAAAUACUACAAUGCUUUCUCCCAAUAAUAAUACACCUUCAUCAAUUAAUAACAAUAAUGUGCAACCUUGCACUUUCAAAAGAUUGCUCAAAUUACAUAAAUUCUAUCUAAUAUCAAAAAUAACAGACUUCACUCCAACCAAUCUAGAUUCACACAAUUUUUGUAAUCAUAGACUUACUUUGUCAAAAUACACACAACUCUCAAUAAACAACAAUCAUAAUCUUCUAUCUAUAAUCAAUCUUCUAAUAACUUCUCAUAUAAUUCAAUCAUACAAUACUCUAAUUACAUGAUCAAUAACUCAUAAAUCAAUCUCUAAUUUAUUCCACAAUUUCACUUCUCAGUAUUCAGAAACUAUUUGUUACUCUUUGACAACAAAGAAACAAAGAAGUAGCACCAAGCUUACCCCGGUUCAUGACUAUCACAGUCUGGCCCUUACAAUAUCUUCUUCAACUUACUUAUGCUUUACUUCUGAAAUUCUAGAUUCUAACCAUCAUUCUCUACUUAAUCAUUUUUUACAACUAAUUCAAUCACCCAUCCUACUGAAUUGCUUAUCUUAAGAAUGAUUAAUCUAUUUUACCAAUAUCUUAGAAAAACAAAUUUCUAUUCCUGCUACAUAGCCUCAC
rnacentral:lncRNA from 1 species